rfam:Schistosoma curassoni strain Dakar, Senegal genome assembly, scaffold: SCTD_scaffold0000493
ACCUUGCUGACGAGUGCCAACUAGCACGAAACCCGGGUUCAGGGU